rnacentral:lncRNA from 1 species
CUUGGCCUCCCAAAGUGCUGGGAUUACAGGUGUGAGCCACCGCAACUGGCCUCCUUUUACAUUCUUAAUGACUGCACAAUAUCUCACUAUGGAGGAACCAUAAUUUACUCCAUCAUCUCUAUUGUUGGGGGUUUUGGUAGCUUUGGGAUUCUCAUUCUUAACAUGUCAUGCUUGAUGCCAUCACAGGUUGAGUCUUUAGAAGCUGACAGAAAUGGCAUUGGAGGUAUAAGAUAUUAACUAGGGCUGGAUCCCUGUGAAAGGAAGAGGGAAGAAGCAGGGGUGGGUGAGGGAGGUGAACUGUGGUACAGUCCUGCAGCCUCAGCAGACCCCAGGGUCUACUGUAAAGGCCUAUCAGUGUUGUCCCAUUGGGUGGAAAUGGCUGGGCUUUUAUAAUCUUAAGUCAUUCACUGACCAGAUGAGGGCUGUCCUGGGAGGGGAAGGACCUCACGUGAGGCUGCACUCUGCAGCUGAGGCCAACUUUGAAGGAGCUGAUAGCUGGGGGUAUCUGUUGACCACACUCUCCAAGGCUGGGCAGCAAGUAGCAAGUCCUCCUGUGAAGCAAGUCCUCAUAUGACACUCCUAUGGGGCAUCUCUGUGUCUACCGCCGUUACUCAUUCUGUGCAUAUAUGUUUGCUUAGGUCCUUGGUAUAAAUUCCAAGAAGUGGAAUUGCUGGGACAGAGUGUGGGCAUUUGAAAAACUUUUUAUAUUUAUUGCCCAGUGACCUCCCAGAAAGAUUGUACCCCUUUCUCCCAUCAAGAGUUCAUCAGUAAUGCAUCAAUACAUGACAAUUGUACUGUUUUACAUUUUUAAAUAUUGAAAGGUAUCUCAAAUUCCUUUGAAAAAUAAAUACAAAUUUUGAUGUUU